CCUACGGGUGGCAGCAGUCGAGAAUCAUUCACAAUGGGGGAAACCCUGAUGGUGCGACGCCGCGUGGGGGAAUGAAGGUCUUCGGAUUGUAAACCCCUGUCAUGUGGGAGCAAAUUAAAAAGAUAGUACCACAAGAGGAAGAGACGGCUAACUCUGUGCCAGCAGCCGCGGUAAUACAGAGGUCUCAAGCGGUGUUCGGAAUCACUGGGCGUAAAGCGUGCGUAGGCUGUUUCGUAAGUCGUGUGUGAAAGGCGCGGGCUCAACCCGCGGACCGCACAUGAUACUGCGAGACUAAAGUAAUGGAGGGGGAAACGGAAGUCCAGGUGUAGCAGUGAAAGGCGGAGAUAGCGAGAGGAACACUAGGGGCGAAGGGGGGUUUCUGGAUCUUAACUGACGCUGAGGCACGAAGGCCAGGGGAGCGAAAGGGAUUAGAUACCCUGGUAGUC
rnacentral:rRNA from 1 species